rnacentral:rRNA from 1 species
UACGUAGGGUGCGAGCGUUGUCCGGAAUUAUUGGGCGUAAAGAGCUCGUAGGCGGUGUGUCGCGUCGGCCGUGAAAACCUGGGGCUCAACUCUGGGCGUGCGGUCGAUACGGGCAUCACUUGAGUUCGGCAGGGGAGACUGGAAUUCCUGGUGUAGCGGUGAAAUGCGCAGAUAUCAGGAGGAACACCGGUGGCGAAGGCGGGUCUCUGGGCCGAUACUGACGCUGAGGAGCGAAGCAUGGGUAGCGAACAGGA